rnacentral:rRNA from 1 species
GCUGACGAGCGGCGGACGGGUGAGUAAUGCAUAGGAAUCUGCCCGAUAGUGGGGGAUAACCUGGGGAAACCCAGGCUAAUACCGCAUACGUCCUACGGGAGAAAGGGGGCUUCGGCUCCCGCUAUUGGAUGAGCCUAUGUCGGAUUAGCUAGUUGGUAAGGUAAUGGCUUACCAAGGCAACGAUCCGUAGCUGGUCUGAGAGGAUGAUCAGCCACAUCGGGACUGAGACACGGCCCGAACUCCUACGGGAGGCAGCAGUGGGGAAUAUUGGACAAUGGGGGCAACCCUGAUCCAGCCAUGCCGCGUGUGUGAAGAAGGCCCUCGGGUUGUAAAGCACUUUCAGCGAGGAAGAACGCCUAUCGGUUAAUACCCGGUAGGAAAGACAUCACUCGCAGAAGAAGCACCGGCUAACUCCGUGCCAGCAGCCGCGGUAAUACGGAGGGUGCAAGCGUUAAUCGGAAUUACUGGGCGUAAAGCGCGCGUAGGUGGCUUGAUAAGCCGGUUGUGAAAGCCCCGGGCUCAACCUGGGAACGGCAUCCGGAACUGUCAGGCUAGAGUGCAGGAGAGGAAGGUAGAAUUCCCGGUGUAGCGGUGAAAUGCGUAGAGAUCGGGAGGAAUACCAGUGGCGAAGGCGGCCUUCUGGACUGACACUGACACUGAGGUGCGAAAGCGUGGGUAGCAAACAGGAUUAGAUACCCUGGUAGUCCACGCCGUAACGAUGUCGACCAGCCGUUGGGUGCCUAGAGCACUUUGUGGCGAAGUUAACGCGAUAAGUCGACCGCCU